rnacentral:lncRNA from 1 species
GACCGCACGCAGAGUCUUCUCAGAGUUGAUGCAUAAUUCAUGAGACUACUCCAGAUCCUGUCAUUGGAGACUGACGCUAUCUCACCUUCGGUGUGAAAGCACUCCUAGGAGUAAGAAGUCACUGGCAAUACGGCAAAUGCAAGGCAGACUUUCCUCGCCCCCAGCCGGCCUCACGGCCAAGGUCAGGAGGCGUUUUUCUGGCUGCGUGCGAGGCACAGGGCGGGCGGGCGUCUCCGGGGCCGGGGCUUGGUGGCUCCCGCCACCUCCUCCUCCGUCACACCCUCCCUCGGCACUAAGGCGCCUUCUGAGACGCCCCCCCCCCCCCCUUUGGCUCCGCUCAGCUGCACGGCUGCAGUCUGUUACGUAACUGUCACCGCCUCCAAGAUGGGAGCUGCCGUGUUCCUGAAGGCACGCAGGCGGGGCCUCGCUGCCGGGAACACUGGCCCCGUGACGCGGUCUCGGGGUCCGGGCCUGCUGCCCCGCUGCCCGCAGCCCUCGGUGCUCAAGCUGCAGGGGCUGCUGACCGACGGUGUCCAGCGUGGAGCUCCCUCUCGGCAGGCGUCUUGUCCUCACUGCUCUCACGACAACGCUGAGCCCUGGCCACACCUCCUGGGUGACCACUCACCUCCUGGGAGAGGGGACGGAGCUGCCCGGGGCUGGGCCUGCAGAGGGCACAGAGCUCCCAGGAGAGGGGACAGAGCUCCUGGGAGAGGGGACAGAGCUGCCCGGGGCUGGGCCUGGAGAGGGGACAGAGCUGCCCGGGGCUGGGCACUCAGGAGAGGAGACAGAGCUCCCAGGAGAGGGGACAGAGCUGCCCGGGGCUGGGCCUGGAGAGGGCACAGAGCUCCCAGGAGAGGGGACAGAGCUGCCCGGGGCUGGGCCUGGAGAGGGCACAGAGCUCCCAGGAGAGGGGACAGAGCUGCCCGGGGCUGGGCCUGGAGAGGGGACAGAGCUGCCCGGGGCUGGGCCUGGAGAGGGGACAGAGCUCCGGGGCUGCCCGACCUCAGUCACAGUGCUGGAAGUGGGCGGCAGACCCCAGAGCAAGCCAGAACCUCAGUCCUCCCUAGACAGCCAGCUGGGCGCUCAGGAGAGGGGACACAGAGUCUCUGAGGGCAGAGGGCAGGGGAAGGAAGCGGAGGGGGACUUCAGGGCCAAAGUGUCAAAGUGUCAAAGCAAGCCAGGGGCCCUCCUAGCACCCUGUGGGCGCCUCCCGUGCCCCUUACAGCGGGGCCCUCGAAGGGCCCCGGGAGCCCCAGGCCUUGCAAGUCCUUCCAACAGGCCAGUGGGCCUGCGACGGUGGUGGCUCAGCACACACUCAAGCUGAGCCCACGGGGACACGGGGCCUGCCUGGGACACACAUCCCCCCGGCGCAGGGACACGACGCCCCCACUGCCCGCGCGCACACACACAA